GCUAGCUACAGCUACUAGUAGUGGGAAGCUGGUUCUCUGGAUACACACAUGCAGCAUUUAAAAAAGUAUUUGCAGGUGCUGUGGGUGCUGCUCAAGUAACAAAUCUCUACAGUCUGAUUUUCUGCGUGCAUCCAGCAGAGCCCUGUGCUGAUGUUGCUGCCAUCACUGCUGUAAUCCUAUGUUAUGAAAGGGUUCUGGUGAUGGACCCCAUGGGACUCAUAACAACAGAAAGUGGCACAGGAGCAAUGGACAAUUUCCCAACAACUUCACCACCAGUACUGCUAUGAGCAGAAAUGCAACCUACUAGCCACAUGAGAGAAAAGAGGCAACAAAGAAGCUCUAGCAGGUGACAUGUUACAGUACUAAAGAGGCAAACAGCAGAAGUUAAAGUUGUUACCACCUACAAAGUCCAGUUUCCUACCAGGGAGAAUGGAGCUCCAGCUCUAGAUGAGCCUAUACCUCUUCAGAUGCUGAACUACUCAGAAGCAGGUAGACAUCAUUACUAAGACACAUCUACACCUGACCCUGCUUGGACUUGGGAAUUGCUGGGGAGCAGGUACAUUUGUAUAUGCCAAAGAAAUCAUGGAGAGCUUGGGAGGUGAGACCCAUAGCAAUCCACCAGCUCUGCAGCCCCUAUGCAAGUACCCUGCAGGUAAGCCUUCCUCCUGCCAGGCCUUCAAGCCAAACAGGAACUUAGUGUUUCUCUAUCUGCUGCUCCUAAAACAAAUACAAGCAGCUGGAGGAGAGGAGAUGACAUAUAACCUACUGCCACUCUAUGUCUGAAAUCAGGACAGAAAACGCUUACUGGUAAGUUAAGCAAAGAUCAGCUUUCCUCUUGCUUCAGUAUUUAUAGUCUACUAAGUGGAUCCUAAAAAAUGAUUAAAAAGAGAAGAACAGCAAACUUUACCAAGAGCUGCUGAACAGCUGCUUUCAGAAUCCGAUUGUGAAGUACAUUGUAGGGACCAAACCUGGACAGAGCUUUACACCUAAAAAGAAUUCUCCCUAUCUGCAGUUUCUGUAAUUCCUUUAAUAUCUAUACAACAGCAGCUCUACUGCACUUAUGUCACAAGAACAAGUCUUCACAUUGACACAUUUUAAAAAUAACUCAUGAGUAAGAUCUUGUUCUCAUUUCUAUAAAACCUCUCCUCCCAAUGAUAAAAACUAGUUAAUAAUUUAACAAAGUAAUUCAAGUGUUCUAAAAAUGGCACAAAGCCAUUUAUAUUUAAAGAAAGUGCUCAGUUAUAGGAGAUUAAUCUGUGAGAAAGUACUAUUAUUUUUUAAAGCAAACACUUUCAAAUCAUCUGCACAGGCUCCUAACAUCACUUGCGUGUGGGUGACUGUUGGCCAUUCAUUCCUUAUCUUGACCACUCUCAUAUUAGAAAAUGAUUUCAUUGUGAAAAGAGAGGUUGCCUACAAACUAAAAUGUGUCUCCACAAGAGGGUAAUGCAGUUUGAUUCAUGCAAUUAAGGUCUUAAGUCCAUCACAUUAACCAGGCUCUACCAAGUCACUCCCUGCAAUACUUUUCUUAAUCUGAAAAUAGGAAAGAAUUGGAGAUUUUAUGUUUCUUUGGCGUAUUCUUAAAGAUUAUCAAGAACCUCUAUUUAUUUUGAAUGCCAAUUUUUAUGUAUUAGUUUCAGGUCACCUAGGGCCCGAUUCUAAUAAAUAGCUAGCAAAGACGAAGUCAAAAGACCAAAGACCAUUCAAACAUCUAAGAAUUAGUGAGCGUAUAUGUUGAUUUGAAACUAAAGUCAAAAUUAGUGAGCAUUUUCAAAAUACUGCUUUUAAGCUUCUUACCUCCCUUUCCCCACCUUUAAAACAAGCAUGAGACUUGUUUAUCAUGAGAAAACAUUGCCAAGAAUAAUAAUCAAAUAGAAAAGGAAAAUGAAAAAAAAAACAUAUGUGUUUUUGUUGCCUGGUUAGUGCAUCCCAACAUCCUCUACAUUUCACCUUGCAGGUAGAAAGCACAAAUAUUUUUAAAUGUUUUGACUGGCACCUCUGUCCCAAGAUUUGUAAUAAUUUAAGUUUUAACUUGUCUAAAUAGUAAUAAAAUGUUAUAACCCAAUCUAUGAAUGCAGAAUACUUAGCUCAUGGAUAACUGAAAGCGAAGCCUGAAAGAAAAAUUAUGGUUCCAGGGCCAAUUUUCUGAUUUGGUUUAUAAAUAGAUGGUUUUGACAUAGCAUUCACAAAAAUAAAGCUACAGUUAGCAAGCCUGAGGCAGCUGUGCAGCUGGAAGAAGUGCAUACUCUGGCAGCCGAUCUGUGCAGUCGCCUAUGUUGUGAUACAUGCUAUCAAAACACCAGUUAAGAAUACAGCAAGAAUUAGCAUUUCAGCUCAAGGCAGAGUGACAGGAAACAAACUUUGAUUUUUAUGUUAUCCAAUAUGUAAACCAUUGAACAAAAGCAAGCAAAUUAGAUUCCUAAUUGGAAGCAGCAGAUAGACUGUAACAAUACAAACAUUUUUGUCCUCCUUCAUGCAAGACAGGUAAAUUAACGUGACAACGUUUUCUGUAGUUGCAAAGCGUUUUCAGAAUGAUAAAUAUAUGAAUUAUUUUGCUAGACAGUUGCAUCAAAUGAACAGAAAUAUUUUUGGAAUCUGAAUAGUGGAAUGAAUACUUCAUUGAAUAAGGAUUCCUAUUUAGGAAAUGAUCUAGAUAUUUCUGCAACUGGAGGUUUUUGCACUAACACCAGCUAAUUUCAGACCAACCAUGUGGAUUAAUAUUGUGCCACAGCUGGAGCAGUCUGACAGUCUAAAGCAGUAGAAAGCUUUAAAGAUGUGAGUGGCAGCUUAGAAGCAGGACUCCCAGAACUAAUGGAAACCUGCUGGUAAUCCCUAAAUUGAUUUAAGCUCCAACUUAUUGCAUUCAUGUUCUAUUACCCUCUGCUGAACAGAGCAGAUACGGCAAAUCUGAAGUUUAAUUUGUAUAAAAUUAGGACCCACAUCCAAAGUUCUGAAAGCCUCAGUUACUUCAACAUAAUAAUUUGUUGAUCCAUCUUUGAAUGAAACAGUUCCUGGCCAAUAAAUAAAGCCCAGCGCAUGCUUAAAUUUGAAUGGAUAAAGCCUUGAUGUCAGACAGUGAAUAUCACGAAGGCCUUUUGUGCUAUAUUCGAAAAUCUUUUUCAUUAAGAAAAAUAUUUCCUUCCCCUUUACUUAGCAUCUCUUCAUUCUUUUCCAGCAUAGUAAACACACUUUGCGCUCAUAGAAGAAACAUUUCAUGUGUGCUGAUAGAAUAUUACAAGGUUGAGAAAGAACAGAUAUACUUCCUCACACUGUUCACUAGUCUUGAGCAGUUUGAGAUCCUAUGUAACAUUCACUUUACAUCAACAGCAUUAAGUUUGAACGUUUACUCAAAUAGAAAUUUAAAAAUAAAGAAAAAAGCAUCAACAUUUAGCAUGUAAAUACUCCAGAAUUCAUUAUCUAGAAACAAAAAUGUGCACUUUUCUUGAAAGCACAAACGUGAGAAAUGGGUAUGACUGACAGUCCACUUUGAAGAAUUAUAAACAUGAAACAAAGUUAAACAUAAGGUUAUAAACCUGCACUGAAUUUCACCACUCAGUCCUUUCACAUCCACAUACAGACUGAGCAUUUGGACUGAUAAGACAAACCCACAACUUUAAUACUGUGCAUAGAAAUUCCAGAGGAGUAUGUGUGAGCUGGAAGUCAAUGUCCUUCCUCCCCUCUAGAUGUAACUCAAGAGCUUAGUAAGAAACAUACAGUAUGACGACAAUGGAUUCACAAGCAAGCUCUUUGAAAUAUGUCAAUUCUUUCCCAUUAUAAAGUUGAGAAUCACUAACAUAUUUACAAAGCAGAAGGACAGUACUACCCUCCUACCAAGGACAGACCAAGAACUUGAACUGAUGGUACCAACAUGCCACCAUACACAAACAAGAAAAUGAAAACAAAUCCCCAUUGUAAAUUCAAAUAUAACAAGAAAGACAAUACAAUUACAUGCUGUGAAUGUAAACUCAGCGCUCCAAUAGAAAUUUAUCUAGUUUUUGCUCAUAACAGAUUUAGAAGAAUGCAAUGGAAAAAUGCACUGAUCUGUCCAGUAUUACUGGCACAGCUGUUCUGUAGCACUUUUGUUUACAUCCCUAUCUACUGAAGUAGAUAUCACCGGUCCCGCUUAACACAGCUUGCCUUUUUGCACCACUGUACCAAUCUGCUUUGGAAAAAGCAAUGGCAGCGCAAGUCAGUAAAGGAAUUCUGUUUUAAACCACCUCCCACAAGCCAUUCUCAUCAGAAGCUAUUUAAUCUGAUUACCAGUAGCAGAAAGUCAAAAUAUAAUUUCCUUACAAAGGUAAGUGUGACCUUACAGAAGAAACAAGUAAAUACAGAUAGAGUUUUGAGCUCUCAAAGCUCAAAACAAGACCCAAAGAAACAAGCCAUAGCGAGUUGCCCUGAGCAUUAUAUCUGCAAAAUUUCAUUAAAUUUAAUUAACACAAAGCCAGUUAGAACGAAAUAUUAGACAUAAGGCAAAGCAAACCAAUACAAAAAUCUCAGGCAAAAACAAAUGGUUCUGUGAAUCUGGAGGAGAUGAUAGGAACACAAUGCUUGCCAAAAUACAACUGUCAGAUUUAAUGACAAACAUUUUUGACAUAUAAAAAGCAUCACAGUCCAUGUUUCUGCCCCCUUCGUAAGACUCACAUUCUUAAAGGAAAAAAAAAUGAAUAUGACUUUUUAACCAAUUCUCUUCUGUGAAUCAAAAUUUUUGUUUUCUAGCAUGCUCUAAAGUCAUAUGAAAUAAGGGAAAACAGAGGACUUGACCCUGGCUGCACAGGAGAGCUGAAAAGGAUGUGGUAGCCAAAAGACACAAACACUACAAGCAUAUGUGGUACUUGGCCCUCUUUUAAAAUUUUCUUGAAAAGGCAGAGGUGUACGAAGACAAGCAAUAGCUAGACAAUUAGUAUAUAUAUGUGAUAAAGACAAAUGACACUAAUCACACUCUAAUCUCUAAGAAAAUAAAAAUGGAGAACUCUGCAUUGCAGAUGGAAUUCUUUUUAAAAAAGGGAGGACUGUGAGAGAGAAAAAGUGCAGGAAAAAAAUAAAUACUAAUUUAAUCUUUUGUUAUAGAACUGUCUGUAAAAUUGGAAGUAAAAAAAAAUGUUAUUUA